GCGAACGCUGGCGGCAUGCUUAACCCAUGCAAGUCGCGCGGGUGGUUUCGGCCAUCAGCGGCGGACGGGUGAGUAUCGCGUAGGAAUGUAUCCCGAGGUGGGGGACAACCCUGGGAAACUGGGGCUAAUACCGCAUGGGGCCUGUGGGUCAAAGCCUUAGGGCGCCUUGGGAGCAGCCUGCGUCCGAUUAGGUAGUUGGUGGGGUAAAGGCCUACCAAGCCUGCGAUCGGUAGCUGGUCUGAGAGGACGAUCAGCCAUACUGGGACUGAGACACGGCCCAGACUCCUACGGGAGGCAGCAGUGGGGAAUAUUGGACAAUGGGCGCAAGCCUGAUCCAGCAAUGCCGCGUGGGUGAAGAAGGUCUUCGGAUUGUAAAGCCCUUUCGGCGGGGACGAUGAUGACGGUACCCGCAGAAGAAGCCCCGGCUAACUUCGUG
rnacentral:rRNA from 1 species